rnacentral:rRNA from 1 species
GACGAACGCUGGCGGCGUGCCUAAUACAUGCAAGUCGAGCGGACUUUCAAGAAGCUUGCUUUUUGAAAGUUAGCGGCGGACGGGUGAGUAACACGUGGGCAACCUGCCUGCAAGACGGGGAUAACUCCGGGAAACCGGGGCUAAUACCGGAUAAUAUCUUCCUUCGCAUGAAGGAAGGUUGAAAGGCGGCGCAAGCUGCCGCUUGCAGAUGGGCCCGCGGCGCAUUAGCUAGUUGGUGAGGUAACGGCUCACCAAGGCGACGAUGCGUAGCCGACCUGAGGGGGUGAUCGGCCACACUGGGACUGAGACACGGCCCAGGCUCCUUCGGGAGGCAGCAGGAGGGAAUCUUCCGCAAUGGGCGGAAGGCUGACGGAGCAACGCCGCGGGAGCGAAGAAGGUCUUCGGAUCGUAAAGCUCUGUUGUCAGGGAAGAAAAAGUACCGUUCGAACAGGGCGGUACCUUGACGGUACCUGACCAGAAAGCCACGGCUAACUACGUG